rnacentral:rRNA from 1 species
GAGUAAUGUCGUAGGGAAACUGCCUGAUGGGAGGGGGAUAACUACUAGGAAACGGUAGACUAAUACCGCAUAACGUCGCAAGACCAAAGAGGGGGACCUUCGGGCCUCUUGCCAUCGGAUGUGCCCAGAUGGGAUUAGCUAGUAGGUGGGGUAACGGCUCACCUAGGCGACGAUCCCUAGCUGGUCUGAGAGGAUGACCAGCCACACUGGAACUGAGACACGGUCCAGACUCCUACGGGAGGCAGCAUG